UUAGUUCUUGGAAGAGGAGACACAGGGAUAUUACAUUCACCAUUAAUACACCACGCAGAGUGGAUUUCUCUCAAGUUAUACAACAUCCAGGUGGUAGAAUCUUGGGCCCCAAAUCUCUGGCACCUCUUUAGGUGUAUGGACGGCUGCCUGGGCAGUCCUCCAGGUGGGUCCUCAGAUUAGAAGUGGAACUGAUGGUACAGUCUGCUGCUUUGGGC